rfam:Desulfotomaculum acetoxidans DSM 771, complete genome.
UAGUCGGUGAAAGUCCGACCGGGAGAAAAGACUUCACUCCCGUAGCUUGAGAGGCACCGUGGAGUGAAAAUGAAACGGUGAAGCCCUUUGACAACACACUCAAGGAGUGUGAGCGAAACUCCAGGUUGUAAUCACA